AUUGAACGCUGGCGGCAGGCCUAACACAUGCCAGUCGAGCGGAUGAGGGGAGCUUGCUCCUGGAUUCAGCGGCGGACGGGUGAGUAAUGCCUAGGAAUCUGCCUGGUAGUGGGGGAUAACGUCCGCAAACGGGCGCUAAUACUGCAUACGUCCUGCGGGAGCAAGUGGGGGAUCUUCGGACCUCACGCUAUCAGAUGAGCCUAGGUCGGAUUAGCUAGUUGGUGGGGUAAAGGCCUACCAAGGAGACGAUCCGUAACUGGUCUGAGAGGAUGAUCAGUCACACUGGAGCUGAGACACGGUCCAGACUCCUACGGGAGGCAGCAGUGGGGAAUAUUGGACAAUGGGCGAAAGCCUGAUCCAGCCAUGCCGCGUGUGUGAAGAAGGUCUUCGGAUUGUAAAGCACUUUAAGUUGGGAGGAAGGGCAGUAAGUUAAUACCUUGCUGUUUUGACGUUACCAACAGAAUAAGCACCGGCUAACUUCGUG
rnacentral:rRNA from 1 species